ACUGUUUACCAAAAACAUAGCUACUAGAAAACAUUAUUAAUAGUGACGCCUGCUCAAUGGUUGACAAUAAACAACAAAACCAACUCAAUAGCUGCGGUAACAUUUAACCGCACAAAGGUAGCACAACAAAUAGCCUACUAAUUACAGGAUUGCAUGAAGGCAUAACGAAGCUCAAACUGUCUCAAGACCCCACUAUAAAAAUAGAAUGUGUGUGCAAAUCCACACUAAAAUGGCAAGACGAUAAGACCCUAAGAACUUUACUCAAAGCUUCAACAAAACCAACUCAAAAAUAAAUAACAUAUUCAGAAAACAAUAAACUCAAGCAUUAAGUUCCGUUGGGGCAACGGUCUCAAAAAAAAUAAAUGAGAUUAAUUAAUCCACACUAAAAUAUUAAAAAACAAUAUUUAAAUUAAAUAACGAUAAGACCCAUUAACAAAAAAGAUUAAUGAACAAAAAAUAAAAGUUCCUUAGGGAUAACAGCGUAAUAUUGCCACUAAAGAUUUUCAAGCAAUGUUUGCGACCUCGAUGUUGAAUUACA
rnacentral:rRNA from 1 species